rnacentral:rRNA from 1 species
AUAUUCUGUGCGCAGGAAAGAGGGGGAUCUUCGGACCUCUUGCUUUCGGAGCGGCCGAUGUCAGAUUAGCUAGUUGGUGGGGUAAAGGCCUACCAAGGCGACGAUCUGUAGCGGGUCUGAGAGGAUGAUCCGCCACACUGGAACUGAGACACGGUCCAGACUCCUACGGGAGGCAGCAGUGGGGAAUUUUGGACAAUGGGGGCAACCCUGAUCCAGCCAUGCCGCGUGAGUGAAGAAGGCCUUCGGGUUGUAAAGCUCUUUCGGCCGGGAAAAAAUCGGUGAGGCUAAUAUCCUCAUCGGAUGAUGGUACCGGACUAAGAAGCACCGGCUAACUACGUGCCAGCAGCCGCGGUAAUACGUAGGGUGCGAGCGUUAAUCGGAAUUACUGGGCGUAAAGCGUGCGCAGGCGGUUUUUUAAGACAGGCGUGAAAUCCCCGGGCUUAACCUGGGAACUGCGCUUGUGACUGGAAGGCUAGAGUACGGCAGAGGGGGGUGGAAUUCCACGUGUAGCAGUGAAAUGCGUAGAGAUGUGGAGGAACACCAAUGGCGAAGGCAGCCCCCUGGGUCGAUACUGACGCUCAUGCACGAAAGCGUGGGGAGCAAACAGGAUUAGAUACCCUGGUAGUCCACGCCCUAAACGAUGUCAACUAGGUGUUGGGUGGGUAAAACCAUUUAGUACCGGAGCUAACGCGUGAAGUUGACCGCCUGGGGAGUACGGCCGCAAGGUUAAAACUCAAAGGAAUUGACGGGGACCCGCACAAGCGGUGGAUGAUGUGGAUUAAUUCGAUGCAACGCGAAAA